UUCCAUCUGGAAGAAUCUGGAGACAGGUGCUGCAUGGCUGUCGUCAGCUCGUGUCGUGAGAUGUUGGGUUAAGUCCCGCAACGAGCGCAACCCUUGCCUUUAGUUGCCAGCAGUUCGGCUGGGCACUCUAAAGGGAUUGCCGGUGUUAAACCGGAGGAAGGUGGGGAUGGACGUCAAGUCCUCAUGGCCUUUAUGACCAGGGCUACACACGUACUACAAUGGCCGAUACAAAGGGCAGCGACACUGCGAGGUGAAGCCAAUCCCGUAAAAUCGGUCUCAGUCCGGAUUGGAGUCUGCAACUCGACUCCAUGAAGUUGGAAUCGCUAGUAAUCGUGGAUCAGCAUGCCACGGUGAAUACGUUCCCGGGCCUU
rnacentral:rRNA from 1 species